GGAUGUGAGGGCGAUCUGGCUGCAACAUCUGUCACCAACUGAUCACCAGGGUUGAUUCAGAUGAUCUGGCUGGCUAGGCAGGUGUCCCCUUCCUCCCUCAAAGCUCCAUGUGUGUCCCUCCCAAAGCUGCGCGCUCGGUCAAAGAGGACGGCCUUCCCCGAAUAGAGACAGACCGGUCUUCUGUCGAAGGUAUACGAGUAGCUGCGCUCCCCUGCUAGAACCUCCAAACAAGCUCUCAAGAAAGCAUGCUUUUGAUCUGUGCCGUUGGAUUUCUGAUGAGCUCAGAGAAUUGGUAUUUGUAAGGAGCUCUUGACAAGCCAAGGCAGAAGCACAAAUUAGUGU
rnacentral:snRNA from 1 species